rnacentral:misc_RNA from 1 species
GAUGAAGAACGCAGCGAAAUGCGAUACGUAAUGUGAAUUGCAGAAUUCAGUGAAUCAUCGAAUCUUUGAACGCAUAUUGCGCUCUCUGGUAUUCCGGAGAGCAUGCUUGUUUGAGUAUCAGUAAACACCUCAACUCCCUUUUCUUUUUUGAAAUUGGAGCUGGACUUGAGUGAUCCCAACGCUUUCUUCCAAGAAAGUGGCGGGUUGCUUGAAAUGCAGGUGCAGCUGAACUUUUCUCUGAGCUAUAAGCAUAUCUAUUUAGUCUGCCUAAAAAACAGAUUAUUACCUUUGCUGCAGCUAACAUAAAGGAGACUAGUUCUUGUGCUGACUGAUGCAGGAUUCACAGAGACAGCUUCGGCUGACUUUGUAAACUCGAUCUCAAAUCAAGUAAGACUACCCGCUGAACUUAAGCAUAUUAAUAAGCGGAGGA